UUUGUAUAAUCGUUUAAAAAAUAAAUUGCAGCCUAAAAUUAGCUUACUUUUCAAUUUAUUUCGUUACAAUCUCCCAUCAUCUACAAACAUAUUCGACCUAAUAGUAUUAGUACAAGAAAUUAAAGAAAACAUACAGACGUGAAUUUAUAAAAUACGCAAAUAGUCGCAUUAUAUGUACGAUCAUUUCAAGAUCAAUUGAAGACAAAAGUUAGCUUUUACACGGCUUCAUUGUUUCUUUGUCCACAUCAGUCGCAAUUCGGACAUUUUGCAUCACUUCGUUUCAGCUCUUUUCACAAUUCAUCCUGGACUAUGUGCAGUUUCUUUUUCGCUUCUGUCUUUUUAUUCCUCGUCGAGAGUGACCUUCGACUGAUGAGCUCGCAGCGAGAUUUGUCUGUUUUAAAAUAGCUCGUUUGGUCGCCGCAUCUCAAAUUUCACGCGAAUUCUGACGGAAGCCGAUACGCGUGGCGCAUGCCUUUCGUCUGCUUCCAUCGCGCGUUCCUCUUCUUGUACCGUAUGCCAUUCAAUCGGCUUCGAAUUUAGAUGCGAAAUGAAGGUGCGCACGCAUGUAGAAAGUAUUGAUAUGCGAACAGCAUAUAUCCAACACGACACGUACGUUGAAAUAUAUCGGCAAUUGUUUAAACGUUGGACACACGCUCCGAUCUCGGCCGAACAUAAUGGCUACCCAAUAAACAGGAAGUCAGCUUCAGAAAGUCUAGCUUUACCGACGUGUAGAUGUUGAAAGUUGAAAGUUGUAACAUAACCUCUACAGUAAGCUGCUGCAAAAAUCAGUUUGAUUAAUUCCGGAAUAGCCGUUCUUAUGAAGCUGUUGAAAAAUUAAUUGGGUUGUGUAAAAUUCGUAGAACAAUUCUCUUUAAAGAAGAUUUCAGUUCCAACUUCACCACUUUCAAAUAAAAGUAAUGUGAAAUAUGUAAUAUGGGUAAUUUCGGUGUCUAAAUUGUUGCAUAUAUUAUACUGUGAAGUUGCUGUUCUCUCCAUUUCUGAAUUGUUUGUUAGCAUGCGCGCGUAGAAAAUAGUCAAGAAAUUCUUCCCAAAGAGAGAAUGUCAGUCAGGCGUGAAAAAUAUGGCUUUCGAAUCUCGAUACACUAUGAAAAAAAGAUAAUUCCAAAAGAUAAAAUGAACGAUUAUUCGACUUAGAAAAAAAGCGGGGGUAAGUAAUUGGAAAAUAUAAAAUGAAUUUUUUAUUUAACGAUGUAAAUAUUAUUUUUAGGAAACAUUUGAUAUAGAUUAGCCGAAAUAAUUGUAACAGUGUGAACAGCUUUCCCGAAUAUUUGAAAUGAUAUAAAUAGUUUGUAAGUGAGUCAAGUGGCAUGCAAGUGUCUUCCGCAGUCUGAAGAAAGAGAAAUGACAAACAUCCGACGAAUUGGCACUGCUGUUUUAAUUCAACACCGACUCAAGUACAUACUUACAGUAGUAUUCCCAACUAUUUAUAUCUUACUAUAAUAUCAUUUUUAUCGUAUACCAAGCUUUCUCCAAAUAUUUGGAUAAAAUGUCUAAGCAAAGCAAAAAUAAUUCUGUUACUCCCAAGUUACUCUAAAUUGAAUUCAAAUAUUUCUGCUCCUUAUAUUAUAAUAUUUAUAAUUAAUGAGAGAAUCAAUCUAUUAUAUUAAAAAAUAAUUUCAUAAAUAUUCCUUAAGAAUUGAUGUUAAUUAAAUCAUAAGUGUAUU